rnacentral:rRNA from 1 species
UACGUAGGGUGCGAGCGUUGUCCGGAAUUAUUGGGCGUAAAGAGCUCGUAGGCGGUGUGUCGCGUCGGUCGUGAAAACUUGGGGCUUAACCCUGAGCUUGCGGUCGAUACGGGCAUCACUGGAGUUCGGCAGGGGAGACUGGAAUUCCUGGUGUAGCGGUGAAAUGCGCAGAUAUCAGGAGGAACACCGGUGGCGAAGGCGGGUCUCUGGGCCGAUACUGACGCUCAGGUGCGAAAGCUAGGGGAGCGAACAGG